GUGCACGCUGGCGGUAGGCCUAACACAUGCCAGUCGAACGGCAGCACAGUAAGAGCUUGCUCUUACGGGUGGCGAGUGGCGGACGGGUGAGGAAUACAUCGGAAUCUACUUUUUCGUGGGGGAUAACGUAGGGAAACUUACGCUAAUACCGCAUACGACCUACGGGUGAAAGCAGGGGAUCUUCGGACCUUGCGCGAUUGAAUGAGCCGAUGUCGGAUUAGCUAGUUGGCGGGGUAAAGGCCCACCAAGGCGACGAUCCGUAGCUGGUCUGAGAGGAUGAUCAGCCACACUGGAACUGAGACACGGUCCAGACUCCUACGGGAGGCAGCAGUGGGGAAUAUUGGACAAUGGGCGCAAGCCUGAUCCAGCCAUACCGCGUGGGUGAAGAGGGCCUUCGGGUUGUAAAGCCCUUUUGUUGGGAAAGAAAAGCAGCAGGUUAAUACCCCGCUGUUCUGACGGUACCCAAAGAAUAAGCACCGGCUAACUUCGUG
rnacentral:rRNA from 1 species